GGCGCCAUUUUGUCUCGGCAGCGGUGGCCGCAGCUCCAUCGCAUUUUAGGUUUCUGGCGAGAAGGAAACGGAGUUUUCAUUUAGUAGGUUCGUUUUUCUGCGGCAGCCGUCACCGUUUCCUCCAGGACAGCACCUAGUCUUGGACGGAGGAGUCUCAGCUGUCAAAAGUCGUUCCUGUCUUUGGAAAUGCAUUUCGGGGACUUGCCGUAUUCUCCACCUGUUUGGCACCAGCUGUGGGAGCCUCUUAAUUAAGACAGGGAAGAAGUGGUUCUUAAAAACAUCCUGCUUGGAGAGAGCUUCUGCGUGCUCCUCGCGCGACAAAGCUGUGAGGAAACUGGAGAAAGCGCUGGCUUUCUGGAUGCUGAGGAGUUUACUUGCCAGCGCAGACGCUGCUUCUGGGACCUUAGACAAGCGUGUGUGUCACUCCGCACGAGGCUUAUGCUACUUUUUGAAAGGAAACAGUGAUUUUGCAGGACUGAAAACGUCUUAAACACAAGGACGUCCCAGAUAAGUCAGACGUUGAUCCUGUUCUGUUGACAUCUUGUGUUUUGGUAGUGAAACAGACACAUAUUUUUAAGUAGGGAAAUUGGAGUAUAAAUUGACUAGUUGUUUUAUAGAAUGGAAUGAUUUUUUUAAAGACAUAUCGUCAGUAAUACCCACGUGGACUAAAUUUUCUCAGUAAGAAAACGUCUUAGCAGAAUCAAUUUUAAUUUAUAACUGGGAUUUUACUCAAAAGUAUUCAUUAAGAAAGUGAACUCUAUGUUGGUAUUUCUAGUGAGUGACCCAGUCACGCUGGAUAGAUCCUAAUAAUUACCCUGAAUACUUGUUUUAAAACGUACUGCUAUAUUGGUGGAGCUCAAGACUAGAAAAUGGUUGUGUGACUUAACAAUUACUGGGGUUUUUGACAGUUGUGCUGAAGAAAACAGAACAUCUCAGUGGCAAAUCUCUCAAAGCAUUACUGAGAGUGACUGAUUUUGUGGGAAAAUUAAGCAAGGUGUUCCAGUUUUUAAAAACCUAGAUCUGCAGUCUGUUUGUGGCCAAUUGUGGUGGCUCACGCCUGUAAUC